UACGUAGGGUGCGAGCGUUGUUCGGAAUUACUGGGCGUAAAGCGCGUGUAGGCGGCGGCGUUAGUCGGAUGUGAAAUCCCUCAGCUCAACUGAGGAAGUGCAUUCGAUACUGCGUCGCUUGAAUGUCGGAGGGGAUGGCGGAAUUCCCGGUGUAGAGGUGAAAUUCGUAGAUAUCGGGAGGAACACCUGUGGCGAAGGCGGCCAUCUGGACGACGAUUGACGCUGAGACGCGAAAGCGUGGGUAGCAAACAGG
rnacentral:rRNA from 1 species